rnacentral:rRNA from 1 species
UACUUAGUGGCAGACGGGUGAGUAACAUGUAGGUAUCUACCCUUUGGCCUGGAAUAACACGAGGAAACUUGUGCUAAUACCGGAUAAGUCUUUACGGAGAAAGCUUUAUGCACCAUUGGAUGAGCCUGCACUUGAUUAGUUUGUUGGUGGGGUAAUGGCCUACCAAGACUGUGAUCAAUAGCUGAUUUGAGAGGAUGAUCAGCCACAUUGGGACUGAGACACGGCCCAAACUCCUACGGGAGGCAGCAGUGGGGAAUCUUGCACAAUGGAGGAAACUCUGAUGCAGCGAUGCCGCGUGAGUGAAGAAGGCCCUUGGGUUGUAAAGCUCUUUCGUCGGGGAAGAA